UACGUAGGGGGCAAGCGUUGUCCGGAAUGAUUGGGCGUAAAGGGCGCGUAGGCGGCCUUCUAAGUCCGAUGUGAAAGUCCUGCUUUUAAGGUGGGAAUUGCAUUGGAAACUGGAGGGCUUGAGUGCAGGAGAGGUAAGUGGAAUUCCCGGUGUAGCGGUGAAAUGCGUAGAGAUCGGGAGGAACACCAGUGGCGAAGGCGACUUACUGGACUGUAACUGACGCUGAGGCGCGAAAGUGUGGGGAGCAAACAGG
rnacentral:rRNA from 1 species